rnacentral:lncRNA from 1 species
GAUGGAAACCCAUUGAGGGAAUUCCAUUCAAAGGAGUAUCAACUAAAGCUAAGGCUAAGAAAGGGAAGUGAAGAAGGACUUUUAAAAGCUCUUGCUUGAUUUUCUUUCUCUAAGUCUUAGAAGGAUUUUCUUCUAAUAUGUUUAUAUGUUAUUUUGUAGGGUCCAAUAAGGCUAGGACACCAUGGACUUGGGCCCAAGCCCAAUAACUAAAUUCCAACAACCCAACCUAAGGAGAAGGGUAAAAGAGACAUUUCCACAAAGGGAGGGGGGUGAAUUUAUCAAAUAUGGAGCUGCCCCAAGAAGAAUGCACAUGCUUCACACCGUCAUGGCAUCUGAAAUGUGAUUUGGCUGAAACUGUUGUUGCACCUCCACGGACGUUGCAUUGCUUCAUCCAGAAACAUGAACAUGCAUCCAUCACUACUGCCAUGUGGAAAGAUCUGCGC